UGCGUAGGCGGUGCGGCAAGUCUGGUGUGAAAUCUCCCGGCUUAACUGGGAGGGUGCGCUAGAAACUGCCGUGCUAGAGUGUGGGAGAGGUAAGCGGAAUUCCUGGUGUAGCGGUGAAAUGCGUAGAUAUCAGGAGGAACACCUGCGGUGUAGACAGCUUACUGGACCAUAACUGACGCUGAGGCACGAAAGCGUGGGUAGCAAACAGGAUUAGAUACCCUGGUAGUCCACGCCCUAAACGAUGCAUACUUGGUGUGGGUGAUUCAUUUCAUCCGUGCCGGAGCUAACGCGUUAAGUAUGCCGCCUGGGGAGUACGGUCGCAAGGCUGAA
rnacentral:rRNA from 1 species